UCAGAGAGAUGCGUGAAUGGUAGCCUCAGGCGACCGGUGUGCGGCUUGGUCGGAUAUUCCAUGUGGCUUGCGUGUGGGUCUCCGAUGGGACGACAUUUUGCGCAGCAUCUGAUUCAUAACGUGUUCUUGUCGGUAUCGGGUAGAGAGCGGCGGAUCUAAAGCGCAAAUGGGUUGCUCGUGGUUUGAGGAGGCGAGGUCGUCAGAAUCUCGGUAGUGAGAGUCUCGGCGGCAUCUGAGGGAUACGUUUGUUACUGUUUCGUCGGUAUCGAAUCUGAGUAUUCUUCUUCUCUUUUCUGGUUUCACCACGCCGUCUUCUACCACCGUCGUCAU